rnacentral:rRNA from 1 species
CACGGGGGGAGCAAGCGUUGUCCGGAUUUACUGGGCGUAAAGCGCGUGUAGGCGGCUUGGCAAGUCGGAUGUGAAAGCCCACGGCUCAACCGUGGAAGCGCAUCCGAAACUGCUUCGCUCGAGUCUCGGAGAGGAAGGUGGAAUGCUUGGUGUAGAGGUGAAAUUCGUAGAUAUCAAGCAGAACACCUGCGGCGAAGGCGGCCUUCUGGACGAUGACUGACGCUGAGACGCGAAAGCGUGGGGAGCAAACAGG